UGACCUCGGAUCAGGUAGAGA
rnacentral:rRNA from 1 species